GAUUGUCCACCUACCCUGAAGUGAUGUUUCCAUAUUCGUCUGUAAAUUUACAUUGUCACCAGCUGGAUGUGAGGCUUCCUGUGACUUCACACCCUGACCCUAACUCACAUGGCUACAUUUGAAAACAAGAGAUUCUGAGUAAUGAAAUCCAGCUGUGUCCUCCAUCAGAAGAAAAAAAUCAUAUGGAAAAAGGUCCUCUGCUACAAAGAUUCUGAAGCUGGAAUCUAAAUUUGCAGUCUGAAAAGUUUGGAAGAAACCUUAGC